GCCAGAUUCACAACCAGUUCUUCCAAGCUGCAAACAGUUCUCCUGGUACUCUCAGCUCUGCAGAGCUGCUACAAGAGCCGUUAUAACGCCAGCAAAACAAGCAAGGGGAGUGUGAGAGGCCCGGGCACUGUGAACGAGGCUGAGACUACUCCCCUGACUUCACGUGAUGAGUUGACCAGCAGCAAGACACAAUAAGGAUCAACGGAAUUCAGCUGCCCAAAGAAAAGUCCAAGAAAAAAUUGGUUUUGUUCCGUAAAGCCAAAUGUCUUUUUUUAAAAAAGGAUACCCAGGGAUGGAAUCCUAGGUGAGGUCAGUCCACUUACCUGACAAAACUUAAAAUUUAUAACUAUUUGGAUGAAAGUCAAUGAGCUAACCACCUUUGAAUCUUCCUCUUGAGAGAUACAACUCUUUAAAAAGGACAU